rnacentral:rRNA from 1 species
GGGCCCGCACAAGCGGUGGAGCAUGUGGUUCAAUUCGACGCAACGCGAAGAACCUUACCCAGGCUUGAACAGCGAGUGAUCAUCGACGAAAGUUGACUUCCGCAAGGACACUCGUAGAGGUGCUGCAUGGCUGUCGUCAGCUCGUGUCGUGAGAUGUUGGGUUAAGUCCCGCAACGAGCGCAACCCUUGUCUGCUGUUGCCAUCACGUUAUGGUGGGCACUCUGCAGAGACUGCCGGUGAUAAACCGGAGGAAGGUGGGGAUGACGUCAAGUCAGCAUGGCCUUUAUGUCUGGGGCUACACACGUGCUACAAUGGCCGGUACAAACCGUCGCGAUACCGUAAGGUGGAGCUAAUCGGAGAAAGCCGGUCUCAGUUCGGAUUGUAGGCUGCAACUCGCCUGCAUGAAGUUGGAAUCGCUAGUAAUCGCGGAUCAGCACGCCGCGGUGAAUACGUUCCCGGGCCUU